rnacentral:rRNA from 1 species
CGGACGGGUGAGUAACGCGUGGAAAACCUGCCGUAUACUGGGGGACUAACACUUAGAAAUAGGUGCUAAUACCGCAUAAGCGCACAGCUUCGCAUGAAGCGGUGUGAAAAACUCUGGUGGUAUACGAUGGUUCCGCGUCUGAUUAGCUAGUUGGUGGGGUAAUGGCCUACCAAGGCAACGAUCAGUAGCCGGCCUGAGAGGGUGAACGGCCACAUUGGGACUGAGACACGGCCCAAACUCCUACGGAAGGCAGCAG